rnacentral:rRNA from 1 species
GUCCACGCUGUAAACGAUGGGUGCUAGGUGUGGGCGGUGUCGACUCCGUCCGUGCCGAAGCUAACGCAUUAAGCACCCCGCCUGGGGAGUACGGCCGCAAGGCUAAAACUCAAAGGAAUUGACGGGGGCCCGCACAAGCAGCGGAGCAUGUGGUUCAAUUCGACGCAACGCGAAGAACCUUACCGAGGCUUGACAUGCACAGGAAUGUCGUAGAAAUACGGCAGCCCUUCGGGGCCUGUGCACAGGUGGUGCAUGGCUGUCGU